rnacentral:lncRNA from 1 species
UAUUAAUCUCUCACUACUCAUGAUAUAUUUAUAUAGAAUUCAGCUUGAUUAACCAAUAAGAUUUCUGCGACUGAAUUUUUUUUUUUUGUGAAUGUGUUCAGGGUGACUUGAAGCAAAAGGUGGAGUAGGAUGAGCUAUGGUAGCAACUAGCAUAAGAAUAAAGAAGUGGAGGGUAGAGGCUCCACUUGGACCACUCAGCCUUUAGUAUUAGUAGUACUAGUACUGGCGUCAUAUUCCUCUCUGUGGUUGUAUGACAUCUACUGGAGCGGUUGCAUACUUGCAUGUAAUAAAUAUCCCUGCUGGUUGCUGGACCCUAUCAUAUUAUAUAACUUUUACCCUCUCUCUCUCUCUCUCUCUCUCUCUCUCUAGUGUCCAGGAAAGAGAAAAACACAGAAAAAAGAAAAGGAAACAAACAGGUCUCUGGAAUCAAAUUUAAGAUAACUAGAAAAAUAUGACCAUGAAACAAUAGGAAAGAAGGAUAAGAAAAAAAUAUUUUUCACAAAGUGGAUGUAUAGGCUUCUUUUAAUUAUAUAAAUACCUUUUAAAUCAUAAAAAUUCAUUAGACUCACCAUGGACAGUAUGCAUUAUGUGCAUGCUAUCAAAUAAUAUUGAAAAUGACUGAUGUCCAUGUGAGCUGACUAGCUUUAAUUAGUCAUAAUUAUAAUCUCAAAUCAAAGUAAAAAAAAAUUUAAUAUUUUAGAAGGGGCAUUGCACAAAUUAUGUUAAAUAUAAAAUGAUUUUCUAAACAAGCUUGAUUCUAGCCUUUAGAAGGUAACUCCCUCAUAAUUCAGCUUGGUGUGGUAAUUCCAAAGGGGGCUUUUACCAUGAGCCCAAUGUCGUGGCGAAGGUUAUACCUUAGAAAGUCAGUGAAGCUAAGGUUUCGUAUGUGUUAUAUCCUUUCGAUCGAGCGACAACUUCUAAGGAUCAUUCCCCUCCCCGGUGCUAGAAGGUCGGAAGGAGAAGUGUUAUAAGCUUUGAAUGGAAGCCCCGGUAAACGGCGGCAGUAACUCUACCUGUCCUAAGGUAGCGAAAUUCCUAGUAACUAGUUGUUUAUAUCGAACUCGAAAAUAUAACUUGACUAUUCGGGACAACUAGAGGAACAUUAUUGCCGGCACUAUCAAAGGCCGCUAUUCCAGACCAAAAGUAUGGAAUAGAGUAAGGCCUUUAUUAGAAAAGAUGCAUAAAAACAACUUAAAAAUACUUUUAAUUUAAGAUGGGGUUUAUUUUUUAAUUGAAUAGAAAAAAUCAAAAUAUUUAAUUUUUUCUAUUCAGUUAAAAAUAACAUAUUGAUAUCAAUCAAUAUAAAAAUAAAUUCAAUUUAGUUAUUGUUAAUAUCAACAUAUUACUUUUAACUUAAUAAAAAUAAUCAAAUAUUUCGAUUUUUUAUAUUCAACUAAAAAACAAACAUUACCUAAUACAAAUAUUGAAAUUAUGUAAUUAGAGACUAAGGAGACGAAAUUAAAAAGUGGCAAUACUUUUGUUAAUAAGUUUAUUUUAGUUAUAUUGAUUUAUAUUAUUACUUUUUUAAUAUAAAAAAAUCAAAUAUUUAAUAUAAAAAAAUCAAAUAUUUUAGUUUUUUUUUUAUUCAACCAAAAAACAAACACCUCAAAAUUGAAAUCAUAUAGUUAGAAACUAAAGACAUGAAGUUAGAAAGUGAUAAUUCUCUUAUCAACAAAUUACUUUAGUUAUAUUGAUAGAUAUUAGUAUAUUACUUUUAACUUAUCGGAAGAAAUAAAAUAUUUUAGUUUUUUCCAUCAUUUCAAAAAACAAACCCCAUGUAAGACAAGUAUCAAAAUCAUGUAGUUAGAGACUUGGGACGUGGGGUUAGAAAGUGACCAUACUCCUCUGUUAAGUUUGAAAAUAUGCAUUUGAAAAGAAUUUUGAAAAGAAAAAAAAAAAAAGUUAUGAAAGCAAGGUUAUCAGAAGGAUGCCUUGUUAAUUUUACUGUAAAUUCAGUCCUCGUAUUCAUCGGAGAUAAAAGCCUUUUUAGGUUAUAAUUUUACCUCCAAAUACAUUAAUAUUUGCUACCUCGUAGUGUGAUUGGGGGUCAACCAAAGAAUAGGAAUCAUGGGGAAUUUUGUGCCACACAUUUAUGUACGAAACUAAUAAAUGUAGCUCCCAAUUCGGGUGUAUACAUUUAUCAUUUCCAAGGUCUAGAUUAGCAUGCCUACCAAACAGUCUUUUCUUCAUUUUUGUGCAUUUUUCAAGGAAAUUGAUUUUUAUAUAAAAAUAAACAAGGUUGUGAAAUGAAAGUUCUUUUUGUAUAGCUUCUUGUGUUUAAUUUUAAGGGGAAGUUACACCUAAAACUAAUAUCAUAAUUUUUAAAGAAUAAUAUUGAUAUUAUAUAGUUUUAUUAAAUGUAAACCUUUUAACAUAAAUUAAAAUAAAGGUAAUGUGAAAAGUAAUAUUUUCUUAAUUUUCAUAUUUAAUUUUUUAAAAAUUAUAAAUUCCUUUAACAAAAUAAACCCAAUAAGUAUAAAAGUUCUUAUUGAGUUUAAAAAAAUAACUUAAAAAAGAUCAUCAAUUAAAAUUUCAUGUUUUGAUUCUUUUCAAUAGACAAGUUGAGACAUGUAAAAUUGAAUGCAUUAGCACGCUCUCAGCAAGUAAAGUAACAGAAUUUUCAUUAACUUCCUACUAUUUUUGAAACAAAUCUAAAUACCAUUUACUUCAAACAAAAACCAAGUUAAAAAUUAUCUAACAAUUUCAAAGAUUACACAAACAAAUUUUAGCUCAAAUUAUCUACUAAUCCACUUAUCAAAACAAAGUUAUUUUCUUAGUCAAGAUAAAUAUGGAAAAAUUAACUAAUAAAGAAAUAGAAAGAAUAAAGCAAUGACACCAAGAUUUAACAUAGAAGAUCUUUAAAGAAAUUAAAAACCAUGGAUCUAUAAAUGAUAAAAAAAACAUCCACUAUAAAUAGUAACAACUGUUAUAAGAUUUUACCUAACUCAAGUCCGUCAAUCCUUCUUGAAUCACUUGACUGAUACUUUUCCACUUCAUUUAUCUGUUUUUUUUUCCUUUCAAAACAUACUUAAAGUCCACAUUAAAUUUAAUCUUGACCUCUUCUUAAGUUCACACAAGACGAAAAUAGGAUUUACUUCAACCCAAUAACCCUAAAGAGAGAAUGGAUGAAAGAACCAAAAGAAUUAGUCCAUACUUUAAAAAAACCUCAAUCAAAAAUUGUUGUAAACUUCAAAAUGGAUAGGAGUUUCUUGGGAAACAAACACACUCAUACUCAGAAUGGGAGAGGAGUACAAUGGUUGUGUGUGACAACUAUUGGAGCCUCAACCCUAAAAUGAAGGUUUUGGAUUUAAAUAGGAAGGAAAACCUUAAUCUAAUGACUAAAAAAUAAUACAACAGUAGAUAGA